rnacentral:misc_RNA from 1 species
UGUCGUGGAGCAGCAGGAUAGAAGGAACGGUGUGCUUGAACGAUCUAAGCAGCAAAGCGGGCUGGUCCAGCGAUGUCUGGCUGGCAGUAUGCGGGCGACGAACCCUCCUCCUCCUCCGCCAUCUCCGUGCGGCAUCUCGUCUCCUACAUGGCUUCGAGCGCGCGACGCAAGACAGAUACAAACGCAGGACGCGGACACGAAGGACCGCUUCUUGGGAGAACGACGUACAGUCGUCUUGCCUACAACUUCAGUUGCCAUCUUCGCUUUCCAGGCCUGCGGUCACCCCGUUCUGUGCAACGUUCUUCUCUUGCUCACCGCCCGAUCUUUACGCUCUCCUGACGGCCAGUC